AUGUGCUCCGGGGUCGGUGAGAAUCCGAACCGGCGGUGACAGUCCGCGAGCCCCUCGCCACGGCGACGGGUUGACCUGGUGGAACUCCAGGACCGACGGUGAUGCGACGCGAGUCGCGAGUCCGGAUGGGAGGAAGCACAG
rnacentral:ncRNA from 2 species